rnacentral:rRNA from 1 species
AUUGAACGCUGGCGGCAUGCCUUACACAUGCAAGUCGAACGGCAGCACGGGAGCUUGCUCCUGGUGGCGAGUGGCGAACGGGUGAGUAAUACAUCGGAACGUACCCUGAAGUGGGGGAUAACGUAGCGAAAGUUACGCUAAUACCGCAUAUUCUGUGAGCAGGAAAGAGGGGGAUCGCAAGACCUCUUGCUUUAGGAGCGGCCGAUGUCGGAUUAGCUAGUUGGUGAGGUAAAGGCUCACCAAGGCGACGAUCCGUAGCGGGUCUGAGAGGAUGAUCCGCCACACUGGGACUGAGACACGGCCCAGACUCCUACGGGAGGCAGCAGUGGGGAAUUUCGGACAAUGGGCGCAAGCCUGAUCCAGCCAUGCCGCGUGAGUGAAGAAGGCCUCGGUUGU